rnacentral:rRNA from 1 species
GACUACCGGGGUAUCUAAUCCCGUUUGCUCCCCUAGCUUUCGCGCCUCAGCGUCAGUAUUGGGCCAGAUGAGCGCCUUCGCCACCGGUGUUCCUCCUGAUAUCUACGCAUUUCACCGCUACACCAGGAAUUCCCUCAUCCUCUCCCAUACUCAAGCCAAGCAGUUUGGGAUGCAGGUCCCCGGGUGAGCCGGGGCAUUUCACAUCCCACUUACUUGACCGCCUACACGCCCUUUACGCCCAGUGAUUCCGAACAACGCUUGCUCCCCCCGUAUUACCGCGGCUGCUGGCACGGAGUUAGCCGGAGCUUAUUCAUCCGGUACCGUCAAACGACCAGAUUAUUCACCUGAUCGCACUUCUUCCCGAAUAAAAGGAGUUUACAACCCAAGGGCCUUCAUCCUCCACGCGGCGUCGCUCGGUCAGGGUUUCCCCCAUUGCCGAAGCCUCUCGACUGCAGCCCCCCGUAGG